rnacentral:tRNA from 1 species
GGAGGAGUAGCUCACACCAUAGAGUGCCUGUCUAAAAAGCAUGAAGCUCUGAGUUUGAACUCCAGCUUCUCUG